GGCUGUAAUUUAGUUCAAUUCAGAACUGCAGAUAGUACAGGCUUCAGAGCAGCCAGAGAUGCCUGUGCACAAGUGCCUGAGCUCCGAGGGACUUUGGGAAACAUUUGGCUAUCCCCCUCCUGCCUGGACCCCGGGACUCUGCACCUGCAGGACAGACAGCCCGGCCGCCGCCUCUGCCGUGCCUCCGGGGACGAGGAACCAGCACAGAUAACCGUUUGGAAAUGGGAUCAUGGCAAAAUUACCAACAAGUCCGUAAAGGAAACUGAAGGCGGUUUGAUCUACACCUUCAAUGCCAGUCCCACAAAGGCUGAAGAAAUAUGUUACGUCUCCAAAGACAUAUACCUCUAAAGAACACAGUCAUGCCCUAAAAUUAGGACAUGAUUCAGCCUUGACGUCUGGAGGCCCACUGCUGCAGGAGCAGCUGGCGUUCCUGUCCUACAGCAGGAAGUUAACCGCGCAUUCCAAAGAGCCCUAAUUGUUUUGAGAUUUUCCUGGCAGCUCAAGAAGCUUGGAUCUUGGAGGGUACACUCUUUUGUACCAACCUCACUUUGGAACCGUACACAAAGGAGUAACUUGUCGCAACCUGAACCACUUAGAGGUAGCAGAUACUGUCUUCCUCCUCAUGGCCAUCACUGCACACGGUGAGCCAGUGCCAAAUGUAGCCGUGCGACGUGCAGAGUGCUUCUGAGAGAGCUAAUGGAGGCCCUGUUCACACAGUGCUCACCAUGGUCUGUUCACCGGAGGACCUCACUCUGCCGCCAUUUUCUCAAGUCGUGCUCUAAAUCGUUGGAAGAAAAUGAAUUAAUAUAAGCUCAGGACCUGAGUCUCACAGUGCUGUGGGAAUCAUUGUGCGCUGGAGAGCCUCACAUAAUGUCCGCAUUAACAGAGACUUUUCAGAUCCUUAUGGAUUUGCUAGAGAUCUCCAAAGGAAGUGCAAAAUUAUUCAUUGCUGGGCAAGCUCGACUAUACUUUGGCUUCACGAAAUAUCUGCAGUGAAGUUUUGAACUGAUAAAAUCUAUAUACUGUUCAAUCAGAAUGCUUUCAUCUUUUUUUAAAGAAUUGAAGAGAAUAACUACUGGAUGGAUUUACUGUGAAUUUAUCAUUGAAAUGGCCACAAAUAAUUAUUACCUUCAUUGUAAGAGCAUUAGUGCUUUUUAUUCAGCAAGUUGAGAAUAAAAUGGAUUUUAGUAACA
rnacentral:lncRNA from 1 species